AAACUAGAACCGUUUUUAUUUUCAUUAACGAGUAUGAUUCUCCGAUUGCACAAAGAGAUAAAAGCACUGACCAUAGAAAACCAAACCCAGCAAACAGCACCGUCUCUUUCCAUUUCAAGCCUCCACCGUCGUCCACUGCUUCAUCUUCAGUUUUUCUGCCUAAAAAUACAUAAAUUGCACCAAACUAAAAAACUGAACUCAUAACAUUCAUCUUCAGUUUUUCUGCUUCAUUUCUAACUAAUUAUUGUGAUUAUUAUUAUUAUUGAGAAGAAAAAAAAAUGGCAAAGUUAAUAAAAUUCUUUGAGUUGAACACAGGGGCCAAGAUUCCUUCUGUUGGGUUAGGCACUUGGCAAGCUGAACCUGGUGUUGUAGCCAAAGCUGUCACCAUAGCCAUUCAGGUUGGAUACAGGCAUAUUGACUGUGCUCAAGCGUAUAACAAUCAAGCAGAGAUUGGUUCUGCUCUAAAGAAGCUUUUUGAUGAAGGUGUGGUGAAGCGUGAGGACUUAUGAAUCACUUCCAAACUCUGGUGUUCAGAUCAUGUUCCAGAAGAUGUGCCCAAAGCAUUGGAUAAAACAUUGCAGGAUUUGAAACUUGACUACCUUGAUCUCUAUCUGAUCCACUGGCCAGUCCGCAUGAAAAGUGGAUCAGUUGGAUUCAAGAAAGAAUAUCUUGAUCAACCGGAUAUUCCCAGCACAUGGAAAGCAAUGGAAGCACUCUAUGACUCAGGCAAGGCAAGAGCCAUAGGAGUUAGCAAUUUCUCUUCAAAGAAGCUUCAAGAUUUGUUGGAUAUAGCAAGAGUGCCUCCUGCUGUUAACCAAGUGGAAUUGCACCCAGGAUGGCAGCAGCAAAAGUUGCAUGCAUUCUGUGAAUCUAAAGGAAUUCAUCUAACUGGAUAUUCUCCACUAGGCUCCCCAGGAGUUCUCAAAAGUGACAUUCUUAAGAAUCCUGUUGUGAUAGAGAUUGCAGAGAAAUUGGGUAAGACACCAGCACAAGUUGCCCUUAGGUGGGGAUUGCAAACAGGCCAUAGUGUGCUGCCUAAGAGCACUAAUGAGUCCAGAAUCAAGGGAAACUUUGAUGUCUUUGACUGGUCUAUUCCAGAAGAAUUGUUAGCAAAAUUCUCUGAAAUUAAGCAGGAUAGACUAAUUAAGGGUACUGCUUUUGUUGACGAGACCUGUGGUGCCUUUAAGACCAUUGAAGAGCUUUGGGAUGGUGAACUCUGAGCUAUAUGCUUCAUAGAGAUGUUGACAAAUUCACUGGUCCUCAAGCAGAUUAGUUCUGCCUUUUACCUGUUAGCAUCUUAAAGCCACCAGAUAUAGUGAUUCAAGUAUGUUUGAGAUUUUGAGAAGUGUUACCGUUGAUAAUCAGGUAACCAAGACUUAUUUUUCAUUUAUAACUAGCAUGUGUACGCACUUAUCGUUCGACUGGGUGCGUGUGCAUUCGGUAAUGUAUUAACAGUAUGCAAUUUAAUAAAAGAAAUAUUUUAUAUCACAGAA